rnacentral:misc_RNA from 1 species
GAUGAAGAACGUAGUGAAAUGCGAUAAGUAAUGUGAAUUGCAGAAUUCAGUGAAUCAUCGAAUCUUUGAACGCACAUUGCGCCCUCUGGUAUUCCGGGGGGCAUGCCUGUUCGAGCGUCAUUAUAACCACUCAAGCUCUCGCUUGGUAUUGGGGUUCGCGGUUCCGCGGCCCCUAAAAUCAGUGGCGGUGCCUGUCGGCUCUACGCGUAGUAAUACUCCUCGCGAUUGAGUCCGGUAGGUCUACUUGCCAGCAACCCCCAAUCUUUACAGGUUGACCUCGGAUCAGGUAGGGAUACCCGCUGAACUUAAGCAUAUCAAUAAGCGGAGGA